UACGUAGGUGGCAAGCGUUGUCCGGAUUUACUGGGCGUAAAGAGCGCGCAGGCGGUCGUUCAAGUCGCGUGUGAAAGCCCCCGGCUCAACUGGGGAGGGUCACGCGAUACUGAUCGACUCGAAGGCAGGAGAGGGUAGUGGAAUUCCCGGUGUAGUGGUGAAAUGCGUAGAGAUGGGGGAGAACACUCGUGGCGAAGGCGGCCAGCUAGACCCAGUUCUGACACUGAGGCGCGACAGCGUGGGGGAGCAAACAGG
rnacentral:rRNA from 1 species